rnacentral:rRNA from 1 species
AUUGAACGCUGGCGGAAUGCUUUACACAUGCAAGUCGAACGGCAGCACGGGGCAACCUGGUGGCGAGUGGCGAACGGGUGAGUAAUAUAUCGGAACGUGCCCAAUCGUGGGGGAUAACGUAGCGAAAGUUACGCUAAUACCGCAUACGAUCUACGGAUGAAAGCGGGGGAUCGCAAGACCUCGCGCGAAUGGAGCGGCCGAUAUCAGAUUAGGUAGUUGGUGGGGUAAAGGCUCACCAAGCCAACGAUCUGUAGCUGGUCUGAGAGGACGACCAGCCACACUGGAACUGAGACACGGUCCAGACUCCUACGGGAGGCAGCAGUGGGGAAUUUUGGACAAUGGGCGCAAGCCUGAUCCAGCCAUUCCGCGUGCAGGAUGAAGGCCUUCGGG